CAUGAUCCGAUCGGAUGGUUGAUCAAUGAUUAAGAAUCAUUCUAGGGUUAAAUGAUCAAUACGAUUGAUAUUUAAUCUAGUGCAAGUGUUGCAGGAGGAUCGAUUAGAAAUUCGAUUGCUAAUUGGCUUAAUUUGAUUAAGCCAAUGAGAUGAGAUUAAGUCUAAUUGAAUAUAAUUUAAUUAGAUUUAGUUUGGGCUUGAUUGGAUCAAGUCC
rnacentral:lncRNA from 1 species